AUAUAUAUAUAUAUAUAUAUAUAUAUAUAAAAUUGUAAAAUAUAUGUAAUAUAUAAAUAUGUAAAAUAAAUCAAAAGCAAACAUGUACUGUAAGCUGUGAGUCCAGUUAUUAAUGACCAUUUAAAAUAUCUCAAAUAUUUUUCAAAUCCAUCUGGGAUACUUUAAUUAGUCUGAUUUCAUUAUAACUAUGUGCUAGUAGACCUUGCUGAAAAAAUGAAUGAAUAACAAUAGAAACCAUCACAGAAAUUCUAAUGGUGUCUACUACAAAUACCAUUACAAACCAUCAGCUAACCAUUAAAACCAUUACCAUUAUUGGCCCUUAAUUUCUACUAGUAUCUACUAGACAUGCCACCAAUAGAAGGCAACAAAUUACUAAUAGAGACCCACAGGGAUCAUUACACUUUCCAUUAAAACCAAUACAAUUCCCAUUAAAACCAUUACUAUGAGGGUUUCUGUUGUUUUUUUUUCAGCAGGGGAAAGCUUAAUUAAACAGUGGUGCUGCAGAAGAGAAGAAAAGAGAAGAGAAGAGAAGAGAAGAGAAGAGAAGAGAAGAGAAGAGAAGAGAAGAGAAGAGAAGAGAAGAUGGAACAAAAUGAUUUUUUUUUCUAAGUGUAAAAGGAAAAGAGCCUGUAGGCCUCUCCCUCGAUGCUAAAGCAUUGUUUUCUGCUCGGCUAAGCAGCAUCGAAUUGAUAUGCUAGCAAUGAUGUGCAGUGACAAUUAAAUUGUAACUGACCUGCAUGUAACCAUCAUUAUGCCUUCUAUCUUUACUGCCAUCCCUGUUAUUUAAUCACACAGCAUGUGGGCUUUUUAUUAGGCAGUAACAACAACAAGACCACAUCCGCCUGCCUAUAAACACUUGACUAUGGGUAUCUAUCAGCUCUUCCAUGAAAGAAGAAAAAAAAAAGGCACAUUUUUCCCCCUGAAAAAGCUGCUACAGAUAAGCCGAGGUAGUCACAUAACAUAGCUACACAACUAAAUAGUGAAUAUUUAUGCAGAAUCCAUAUUCUCUAACAUCAGGAUCCACAGACAUUAUGAUUAUAACAAUGGGGAUGUCUUUAUCUGAUACUUAAAAGGUAAAUCAAUGUCUUCCUAGAAUUCAUAUUAGGAUCCAUAUGAAACAACAGAACUGGGGAAAAAAAGACUACCGAAAAACGAAUGAGGUCUUGCUAUGGGUUUUCUCUCUGAUUCACUCUCUGAGUCACACACACACCCUAACAAACAUCACAACCUUUCUCCAAUGACUGCCGCAUAUUCAUUUGCAUAACAAUUUUCGCUUGUGUUUCUGGUUAGAUGGAAUUCACAGCAUGGUGCCUGCAUUGUGAGUGCUGGGUCAUUGCUAUAUAUAUGUGACAGCGAAGGGGGAAAAAAGCAAACCUCUCACUUUCAUCUACAGGAACACAUACUGUAGGUAUAGUACACACCUCAUACAGAGAACAAUGACUUCAAACAGUCCAGCAAUACGUCCAUAUUAAUAUUCAUGCAAGGGAAACAUGUAUUAUUAUUACUACUAGUAGUAUUAGUAGUAGUAGUAGUAGUCGUAGUAUUAGUGGUAGUAAUAGUAGUAGUUGUAGUAGUAAUAGUAGUAGUAGUAUUAGUCGUAGUAGUAGUAGUAGUAUUAGUAGUAGUACUAGUCGUAGUAUUAGUAGUAGUAGUAGUAGUCAUAGUACUGGUAGUAGUAGUAGUAGUAGUAAUAGUAGUCAUAGUUCUGGUAGUAGUAGUAAUAGUAGUAGUAGUAUUAGUCGUAGUACUACUAGUAGUAGUAAUAGUAGUAGUAGUAGUAGUAGUAGUAGUAGUAUUGGUAGUAGAAGUAUUAGUAGUAGUAGUAAAGUAUUAGUAGUAGUAGUAUUAGUAGUAGAAGUAGUAGUAUUAAUAGUAGUAGUAGUAGUAGUAGAAGUAUUAUUAUUAUUAUUAUUAGUAUUAGUAGUAGUAGUAUUAGUAGUAGAAUUGUUGUUGUUGUUGUGUGUCUCUGUCGCUCAAGGAUUACACCUGUGCUUUGUGUCUGUUCAUAAGCAUGAAUAGUGUGACAGUUGCAUUAAAUAAGAGGUGCUUACUCUCUCUUGAAUAAUCUUUCACAAAAAGAUUCUCAGGGGAAAAAAGAAAUGGUACAAAGCCAUGGCAGCAUUUGUGUAUAUAUUUAUAUAUAAUAUAUUUAUUUGAGGAAAAUAAAAGCCUGAAAACACACAAUCAAUAACGCCAGAGUCGAAGAUGCAUGUCCCAAAAGACUAACACAAUCAGGAAUUAACCUGUAAAGGCUGGAAAAAGGUAAAAAGCUCUAAAAAAAAAAUCAGAUAUUUGUAGAAUGGAACCUGAGUAGCAUGUGCUGCACAAUUUUAUUCAGGUCAAGGUAUAUGUAAAAGGUUAGUUGUAUUUGCAUGUUUUCUAUUUAUAGAGUGUCAAAAUUGUGUCAAAAUUCAGUCACCUGCCACUUUAAUAGUAACACCUGUACAUCUGCCCAUUCAUGCAUUUUUCAAGUCAGCAAAUGUGUAAUGCAUAAACUCAUGCAGGUACAGGUCAAGAGCUUCAGUUAAUGUGUACAUCAAACAUCAGAAUAGGGACAAAUGUGACCCCAGUAACUUUGACUGUGGCAUUGUUUUUGGCCUGGCUGGGAUGAGUAUUUCUGAAACUGCUGAUCCCCUGGGAUUUUUGGGCACAACAGUCUCUAGAGUUCAAACAGAAUGUUACAAAAUAAAACCCAUCCAGUGAGCGGCAGUUCUGCAGGAGUUCUGCCCUGUGACAAGAGAGGUCAGAGGAGAAUGGUCAGACAGGAUUUAGCUGAUAGGAAGGAUGCGGUCACUCAAAUAACCACUCUUUACAACCAUGGAGAGCUGAAAAGCAUCUCAGAAUGCACAACACUCCUGUCAGCCAAGAACGGGAAUCUGAGGCUACAGUGGGCACAGGCUCACCAAAACUGGACAGACGAAUAUUAGAAAAAAUAUCAUCUGGUCUUGACCUGCAUUAUUUUAUACACUGCUCUGCUGUCACAUGAUUGGCGUAUUUAAUAAUUGUGUGAAUGAAUUGCAGGUGUUCCUGCAAUAUUAUCAUUUUAUCAACAAAAACAUUUACCAAAAUUUUCAGGACCUUAUAGCAGAUUGUUAGCAGCUACAACCGCUUGGGUGAAAAGUAUCAUUUUUUUUAUAAACUCUCUGAUUUGAGUCCUGAGAAUUUAUCUCUCUCAUUUUUUUCCUUCCAUACUCAUUGCUUCUUGUCUUUUCUCUUGCUUUAAUUCUUCUAAUUUUUCUCAAUUGUUCCAUUUCCCUGUCUGUCAAAUAUUCAAAGACAAAUCAUUAUCAGUGUGGAAAAUGAAACAGAAGAAAAGUGUUUCAUUGUAUUUAGCAUAGCUCCUUUUGUCAGGAAUUUCAGACAAGAACUUAGAGUGCGGCUGUAGAAACUAAUGAUCCUACUACUGAAAUACGAUAAACCAUCUUGAGUAAAUGCAAGAACUGUUUAAACAAUUAUACAUAAAAUUAAUAUGCUUAACUCUGAAAUGGAUUUAUGUAUUGGUGAGAUUGAGCAAUCCAAUGAGAACUAUAAUAUUAUUCAUAAAAAGCAGUACUUCCAUAGCCAGGAUUACAUAUUCACAGAGAGAAUGUCUUCCUUGGCUUGUUGGUCAGAAAAUAAGUAUCAGCAUGCAUGGCACUUACAUGACGCUUGUCAGGAAUAUUUUCUGCAAAAGCUAACAAAAAGAAAGAACAAUUCUUGCUCCACCAAAUGUACUAUACUAUACGACUAUUAUAAGUCAAAAAGGCAAAUAUAAAAGUAAUCAAUCAGUGACCAAAUGGUAAUAAUUGAAAAUAGUUAAUGAAAUUGAAAUAGAAUUCAAAUAAUAUGUAUAUUUUUACACUUGAACAAUUCCACAAGAUUAAUUGUUAAUUAAUUGCUAUUACUGUGUGGGCUGACCAGUGGGGUCAUGAGACCAAGACGCAGACUCCACUUUCAUUUUAUGAAUAUCACAGACUCUAUCUUUGUAGCCACAUCAAUACAGAUGUGCUACUAUUUGGAAAUGUUAAUGGGAACAACAUGUAAAUAAAGCGUAUAUGUGUUUUUUAGUCUUUUUUUUCUUACAAGCUGCACUAGCGAAGAAGUUCAGCAAUAAAAUGGUGUAUGAUUCUGAGUGAAACAACAUAAACCAAGAAAUUGAACAUAAAAAUAUGUCAAAACAUUUACUGAAUACAUCUGGUGGUGGUCACUGCUUGGGGUUGCAAAAAAAUGUCCAUUUGUUUUUGUUUGAACAAAAAAUUUGAGAACCACUGUGUGGAGGUGAGCGUGUGGUCGAGCGCCGGUUUGCGAAUAGAGGGCGGAGCCAGUAAAACUAAAUGAUAAUGAUCUACACUUGUGUGCGAUUGCUCUAGCAUGUGUUACAUUACAUUUACAUCUAUUCAUUUAGCAGACGCUUUUAUCCAAAGCAACUUACAAGUGAGGAAAUACACUCAGUUCUGUGUUUCAGUGAGCGGCAGCAAGUAUAAAGUGGGGAGAGAUGAGUGCUUUAGUUGCAAGAAAGGAGCUGGCUGUGCUGAUCAGCUUUCUCUCUCUCUCUCUCUCUCACUCUCUCUCAGCGUCUCUCCCCACUUUAUCCUUGCUGCUCUGCACUGAAACACAAAACACAUGUUAGAGCAAUCCAGCACAACUGUAGAUCCUUACCACUAACUUUUCCCGGCUCUGCCUUCCAUUCAAAAACCAGUGCUCGACCACGCCCCCGCCUCCACACACUGGUCUAGGCCAUUGAAGGGUUGGUCAAAUCUCAGAACGGCAAACUACUCUGUUGCUCUGGAUAAAACAUAAUUUGCUGCAUAGAAAUGCAUUGCACAGCUCUUUCCAGUAUACACUUCAAAUCUUUCAUUGCCACAUAUGCAUGCUAAAAGAGAAAGUACUCAACAGGCAUACAUGUCUUGCAGAGCUCAUUGGUAAGUUGACCUUCUCUUGCAUAGUUAACCUAGCUGUUUAAAGGAAAAAAUAUAUAUAUUUGCUUAGAUAAUGUCGAGGCUAAGUCUCACAAGUGUUUGAAAUUCUGUCCAGCUUUUAAUGGCCACUCAGGAAAAAUACUGAAUAAUAUAUUCAUCAAUACGCUUCGCUUCAUAUGAUUCUACACUAUAAAUGUUAUAUACUCGUUUGCUAAGAUAUCUUCCAUGGCUUUUGGAGGGUGUACAGUAUGAGUAUAUGUGGAUUUUAAAAAUGAUGCUUUGUUCAUGCUCAUCUUUUAGUUAAUGAUACUGAUUGAUACUGAGGAUAUGUCGUGAUGUCAUUUUGUCACGAACUAUCCAAGAUGGCAGCACGUUAAGCAUGUCACAGACAAUUGUUUGACUGUGAAGUGUUCAGUGAUAACUGCGUUGGAAAUGUUAUUAUAGUGUCUUUUAAAAAUCCACUUUAAUGUUUGAAUUCCACAUAUUCGAUCUUGUGUAGCAAACCGUUUGGUUUUGCUGCUGUAAAAGAAAACUCACUUCAACCUUGAGUAUUUUAUUUCACUUUUUCGAGCCUCCAUUUUCCAAUGGUACAGGAAAAUCACUUUACAUGGACUGAACCAGAGAAACAUUUAACAUGGACUGUACUGGAGUCAAACUUUCCCUGGACUGUUCUGGAACAACCCCUCCCUGGCAGGCCUGGGCUGAAUCCCCAGUUCCCUUUGCAGAGUGAUGGGUCUGACCUGCUUCGCUGAACCGCCGCCUCCAUACAAACAGAUUACUUCACUCAUUCCUUCUGAGAAGUCAGUGGUUGUGGUGCUACUCUGCAUACUGACUUUGGUAGACCCAGGCAUAAACGGUUGUUGUCGCUGGGCAAGGAAUGUCUCACAUCUCUUGUUCAUGGUAAUGUCACAGAUGCAGUGGAUAGAGAUGUUGAAAGGUUAUCUUGGGCAAAUAAUCUUGCAGAAGUAAUGUACUGAUCCAACAGCAUCUUCUCAUGUAAAUAUGACCAAAGUAUAUUUACUGUAUAUCUUUCCUUUUCUUUUACCACCACUCUUAUUGAUGUCUAAUAGUUUUUAUAUUUC
ensembl:lncRNA